GACGAACGCUGGCGGCGUGCCUAAUACAUGCAAGUCGAACGAAGUUGUUUUAACUGGUGCUUGCACCGACUUAAACAACUGAGUGGCGAACGGGUGAGUAACACGUGGGUAACCUGCCCCAAAGUGGGGGAUAACAUUUGGAAACAGACGCUAAUACCGCAUAACCACAGAAACCUCAUGGUUUCUGUGUCAAAGAUGGUUUCGGCUAUCACUUUGGGAUGGACCCGCGGCGUAUUAGCUAGUUGGUAAGGUAACGG
rnacentral:rRNA from 1 species